rnacentral:rRNA from 1 species
CCUACGGGUGGCAGCAGUGGGGAAUGUUGGACAAUGGGCGCAAGCCUGAUCCAGCUAUUCCGCGUGUGGGAUGACGGCCCUCGGGUUGUAAACCACUUUAGUAGAGAACGAAAAGGAGCUAGCGAAUAAAUAGCUCUGCGGACGGUACGCUAAGAAGAAGCACCGGCUAACUCCGUGCCAGCAGCCGCGGUAAUACGUAGGGUGCGAGCGUUAAUCGGAAUAACUGGGCGUAAAGGGUGUGCAGGCGGCUGCGUAAGACAGAUGUGAAAUCCCCGGGCUUAACCUGGGAACCGCAUAUGUUACUGCUUGGCUAGAGUGCGUCAGAGGGAGUUGGACUUCCCCGUGUAGCCGU